AUUGAACGCUGGCGGCAGGCCUAACACAUGCAAGUCGAACGGUAACAGGGAUCAGCUUGCUGAUUCGCUGACGAGUGGCGGACGGGUGAGUAAUGUCUGGGAAACUGCCUGAUGGAGGGGGAUAACUACUGGAAACGGUAGCUAAUACCGCAUAACGUCACAAGACCAAAGAGGGGGACCUUCGGGCCUCUUGCCAUCGGAUGUGCCCAGAUGGGAUUAGCUAGUAGGUGGGGUAACGGCUCACCUAGGCGACGAUCCCUAGCUGGUCUGAGAGGAUGACCAGCCACACUGGAACUGAGACACGGUCCAGACUCCUACGGGAGUCAGCAGUGGGGAAUAUUGCACAAUGGGCGCAAGCCUGAUGCAGCCAUGCCGCGUGUAUGAAGAAGGCCUUCGGGUUGUAAAGUACUUUCAGCGGGGAGGAAGGGAGUAAAGUUAAUACCUUUGCUCAUUGACGUUACCCGCAGAAGAAGCACCGGCUAACUCCGUG
rnacentral:rRNA from 1 species